rnacentral:lncRNA from 1 species
UUUCUCUCAAGAACUCUCCUUAGGGUUUCAAAAUAAAAACCCAAGCAACUCAAGAUUCAACCAUGGGUUUUCAAAACAAAUUGAAGAUUUGGAACUCUUGCAACUUAGGCUUCAAGAAGCACCUAUUAUUUCCGCAUAUAGAGGUACGUGGGGUUAUCUCAAAAAUCUCAUGGGCUUUAAAAUUCAUGUUUUGAAAAUGGGGGUUUAGAAAUUACGAAUAUGAUUAUGUUUUAAACGUUUUAUGAUAUUGAUUUGGUCUUUAGGCCUAUUUCCGAAGUGAUUUGAUAUAAGAUAUACGUAUAUGCAUGUAUUCCGAAAAGAUGUUAACUUGAGAACAUGAAUUAUAUGAAAUUCCUCUCUUGAUAUGAUUUUGUUUUGAAUUCUCAUAUGAUAUGAAAUGUUUGAAAUUAUCUUGACAAGCAUGACAUGAGAUAUUUCAAAAAUGGUUAUGACUUUUGACUUGCAAGGAGAGGGUUGUUUCGUUGAAAUAUGAUGAAUAUAAUGGUUGCAUGAAAGAAUGAUGUGAUAUUUAUGGCUUGCAAGUCGGGUAUGACGAUACCCUACAAAAUAUGAUAUGUGAUGGAAUUAAAUAAAGUUGAAUGCAUUGAUUUUUCAUGAGAUAGGUGGAUGCCCGAAGAAAGCAUUUGAGUGUAAGGGCUCAUCGCUGGAAACCGUGAUUGCCGACAUGGAAAUUUGGUACCAGGAAAAGUGAUCUUGUGUACUUGACUUUAUGUCAUUCUCAAAUUAGGACUAUGGUUAGGAGCCCAGGCUAAGUGAUCUCGGGCACUACUAUACGUUAUUGGGUCGGGACACCCUGUGGUGUGAUCUUAUGUGUCUUCCCCUCACUUAUACUCUAAUCUCGGUGGCAACUAAGGUUUGAUAGUUGGUGUAAAUGUUAUAUGUAGGGUAUUCCACCUAUCUCAGAUGCAUUACAUUGUUGUUGAAAACUAUUACAUUUUGCCCAUGUGUUUUCAAGUGAUUUGAUAUGAAACUGCUUUAUAAUGGCUCUCACCUAUAUUUUGUAAAAAUAUUAUGUUUUUGUUUAGAUUUCUCUGCGUACCAGUACUUUUGUAUUGACCUCCUUCCCUCCCAGGUUUGGAGGCACAGUCUAGGGGUUCAGAAAAUCAGUAGAUUCCUCAGACAGAUUUGCAGAGUCCCUUGGUGAGCCUUCUAUAUUCCGGAAGGCCUAAUAUCUGGCAGUUUCAUUGAUUAUUUAUUAGUUUUGGGUCUACAGGGGGCCUUGUCCCAGUUUUCAGAUAGUUACUUGUUUCAGUCAUGUAGUAGAGAUUUCACAGAUGGUUUUUGAGAUGUUGAUUAAGAUUGUGGGACAUUAUUCCCCAUUAUUGUUUUCAUAUGAUUCUUGACCAUGUUUCCAUUAUAUUGUGUUUCUUCCGCA